CAGCAGCCGCGGGAAUACGAAGGGUGCAAGCGUUAAUCGGAAUUACUGGGCGUAAAGCGUACGCAGGCGGUUUGUUAAGUCAGAUGUGAAAUCCCCGAGCUUAACUCGGGAACUGCAUUUGAAACUGGCAGGCUAGAGUCUCGUAGAGGGGGGUAGAAUUCCAGGUGUAGCGGUGAAAUGCGUAGAGAUCUGGAGGAAUACCGGUGGCGAAGGCGGCCCCCUGGACGAAGACUGACGCUCAGGUACGAAAGCGUGGGGAGCAAACAGGAUUAGAUACCCCAGUAGUCCCUGUCUCUUAUAC
rnacentral:rRNA from 1 species